rnacentral:rRNA from 1 species
UACAGAGGCCUCGAGCGUUAGGCGGAAUCACUGGGCUUAAAGCGUGUGUAGGCGGACUUCUAAGUGCCUUGUGAAAUCCCACGGCUCACCCGUCGGAACUGCUGGGCAUACUGGGAGUCUUGAGCCACCUAGGGGCGAGCGGAACAAAUGGUGGAGCGGUGAAAUGCGUAGAUAUCAUUUGGAACGCCAACGGAGAAAUCAGCUCGCUGGGGGUGUGCUGACGCUGAGACACGAAAGCCAGGGGAGCGAACGGG